rnacentral:rRNA from 1 species
GAUUAUGGCUCAGGAUGAACGCUAGCUACAGGCUUAACACAUGCAAGUCGAGGGGCAGCGAGAGGAAAGCUUGCUUCCUUGUCGGCGACCGGCGCACGGGUGAGUAACGCGUAUCCAACCUUCCCCAUAGUAGAGGAUAGCCCGGCGAAAGUCGGAUUAAUACUCUAUGUUGUGUCAUGAGGACAUCUGAAUAACACUAAAGAUUUAUCGCUAUGGGAUGGGGAUGCGUCUGAUUAGCUGUGGCGGGUAACGGCCACCAAGGCGACGAUCAGUAGGGGUUCUGAGAGGAAGGUCCCCCACAUUGGUACUGAGACACGGACCAAACUCCUACGGGAGGCAGCAGUGAGGAAUAUUGGUCAAUGGACGAGAGUCUGAACCAGCCAAGUAGCGUGCAAGGAUGACUGCCCUAUGGGUUGUAAACUGCUUUUAUGCGGGAAUAAAGUCAGGUACGUGUACCUGUUUGUAUGUACCGCAUGAAUAAGGACCGGCUAAUUCCGUGCCAGCAGCGGC